GAUGAACGCUGGCGGCGUGCCUAAUACAUGCAAGUCGAGCGAACGGACGAGAAGCUUGUUUCUCUGAUGUUAGCGGCGGACGGGUGAGUAACACGUGGAUAACCUACCUAUCAGACUGGGAUAACUUCGGGAAACCGGAGCUAAUACCGGAUAAUAUUUUGAACCGCAUGGUUCAAAUGUGAAAGACGGUCUUGCUGUCACUUAUAGAUGGAUCCGAGCUGCAUUAGCUAGUUGGUAAGGUAACGGCAUACCAAGGCAACGAUGCAUAGCCGACCUGGGAGGGUGAUCGGCCGCACUGGAGCGGGAACGCGGUCCAGGCGCCUACGGGAGGCAGCAGUAGGGUAUCUUCCGCAGUAGGCGGGAGCCUUGCGGAACGACGCCGCGUGAGUGAUGGAGAUCUUCGGAUCGUGAAACUCUGUUAUUGGGGGUAAACAUAUGUGUAAGUAGCAGUACACAUCUUGACGGUACCUAAUCAGAAAGCCACGGCUAACUACGUG
rnacentral:rRNA from 1 species